rnacentral:lncRNA from 1 species
UGGCCGAUCUUUACUUUAUUAGCUAUUCUUUAUCAUUAGCUUUUCUCUAGUCUUUACUUGGUCACAUUACGCUCAUUGGCGAUUCUUUCCUAAGUUUGCUCAUACCUUAGCCAUCUAUGCCACUCGACACGGUCUUGAGUCAAUCCUCUGCGGAUAGUCCGCACACUGGCUGCUCAACAGCCCAUCGCACUCGAUGACUCAGCCACCCGGCGGCGAAGUCGUCGCACAUGCUCAGCUCUGGCUCAAGUCACCCUGCGGCAUAAUCCACAAACCAGCUCAACCAUCCGGCGGCGAAAUCGUCGCACACGCCACGACAAUGGUUCUUUAGCCCCGGGCGGCGAAAUCGUCGCACACAUCCUGCACAACUCUUGGUGUUCCACAAGUCCUAGGAUUCCGGAAUCCAUUUCACAGUACUCAAGGGUUGGUCUUAACCCUAUGGAAUUGACCUAUCUAGGUCCAAGCCUUUACUCAACCUAAGUUAAUACUUUAGGUUCAUUGCUUUCAUACUCUUAGCCUAGGUUUAUUAACACUAGGUCCAUUAUUCUCGUCUACCUAGAUUCACUUGACUCUAGGUUCUUACCUUUACCUCACAACCUAUGUUCUCUAACAUUAGGAUUAAUGCCUUUCUCGUUAACCUAUGUUCAUUAACACUAGGUUCAUUAUCACUCUUGUUCAACCUAGGUUCACGACUCUAGGUUCAAUGCCACUCGAUCUAUAUGUAUACAUAUGUCCUUUACUUAACAUUCUUACAUUAGCAUCCCUAUAACAUACUUAUCAUACAUAUACUUAGCAUUUUUACCAUGUCAUCAACUAUAUUCUUAGCAUUAACCACAUGCUUGCAUUUAUUAAUUCUACAUCAUGCUUAUCAUACAAUUACUUAGCAUUCUUUACACUAUGUCAUUACGCAUCAUU